CAAUAGUAUCAGCUGUUGCUGAUACCUUCCAUGGGUUCAUCCAAACCAUCCCAACUUGGGGAGCUGCUUUGAGAGUCAUAAAUCACUUCUGAGUCCUCAGAUUUGCUCAUGUCUUUACAGCCAGCAGUUGUUGAAUCAUUGUGUUGUGUUCCUUUUCAGACAUCUUUCCUUAUCUUUUAUUAUUUGCUGUUAGGUCAGCUUCUUCCAGCAACAAUCUGGAAUCAGAGCUCCAGAACCACCUGGAGUCCAUCAGGGUUACUGUGAGAAGUUACCAGCAGCACUUGGAGGAAGCAUUAGGAAAAUUAAGGGAUUCAAAUGUGGAUUUUCUCAAAAGUUGCAGAUUAUUUUCAGAGGUCGGUAACUUUUCUUCUGAGGAGGUAUAGUUUUUCAGCAAGUGUCUUCAGAAAGAAAGUAAAGAAAUUGACUCCUUUGAAAGUUCAAUCAAAACAGAUGUGGAGCAAAUAAAAUCGAGCUGCUUGGAGCAGGCUACAGAACUGUUCAAGCAGUCUCAAAAAAGGUUUGCUUCUCUCUCUCUGAGUCGAGCCUUUAUGAGGAAGGUCCCUCAAUCUUUGAGGAGGUUACGACAGCAAAUCAAAU